GAUCCUGGCUCAGGAUAAACGCUGGCGGCGUGCCUAACACAUGCAAGUCGAACGAUCCGCAAGGGAGAGUGGCGGAAGGGUGAGUAACACGUGGGAAUCUACCUCCUCGCAGGGAACAACCUCUCGAAAGAGAGGCUAAUACCCAAAAGGGUCAGAAAUGAUCAGAGUCGAAAGGCGUGAGGAGAGGAGCCCGCGGCCCAUCAGCUAGUUGGUGAGGUAAUGGCUUACCAAGGCUACGACGGGUAGGGGAUCUGAGAGGAUGUCCCCCACACUGGAACUGAAACACGGUCCAGACGCCUACGGGUGGCAGCAGUGAGGAAUAUUGGACAAUGGGCGAAAGCCCGAUCCAGCAACGCCGCGUGGAGGAUGAAGGCCUUCGGGUCGUAAACUUCUUUAGAGGGAGACGAGAAAGGACGGUAUCCCUAGAAUAAGCGACGGCAAACUACGUG
rnacentral:rRNA from 1 species